UCUGGGAGAUAAAAUGAAAACACAUUGGUGGAUCAAAAUUUGUGUAAAGGUUUCUUCGUGUGGAGAUUACUAACUUACCGCCGGGAGUCAAUAGGAUUUAAUGGUUAUUGAGUGCAGUGAGUGCUUUCGAGGUGGUGUGGUGACUGUGGUCGUGGUAGGAGUAGUGCCGACGGGUGGCGGAGGACGUGUGGUUUGCUAGCAUGGUGAGGGCCAGUGUUGUGCUAGGGAGGUGCUGGUGAGGUGUGUCGCUGAUGCUGCCGCCUCUCAACCCCGACGGGUGUUUUCUUCCUCCUCUUUUCCACGCGUCUGUCCGUCGGCUCAGGUGUGAGUGUCCGUGCUGAGCUGAGGCGCUGCUGAGACCGCGAGCAAAGAAAGGAAACCAGACCCGAGCAUCGUCACCACAGCCACCUCCCACCCCUGCCCUCCUGCCACGCUUGUCCGCUGCCCUCAUGAAGCAGAUCCGCCCCUUGUCACCGCGCUGCACGGCUCGCUCAGGCCAUGGACCAUUCAUUAAUGCUACGACGUGAACGUCGGGUUGUAUAGCACGCCGGAAUGACGCCGAGAAUGCUUGUGUGUGUGUGUGUCUGGUGUCUGGUUAUGAUGGCGGUGGUGAUGUUGGUGAUGAUGCAUGGUGAUAAUGAUAAUAAUGAUGGUAGUAAAUGAUAACAGUAGUAAUAGUGAUAAUAAGA